rnacentral:rRNA from 1 species
CAGCAGCCGCGGGAAUACAGAGGGUGCGAGCGUUAAUCGGAUUUACUGGGCGUAAAGCGUGCGUAGGCGGCUUUUUAAGUCGGAUGUGAAAUCCCUGAGCUUAACUUGGGAAUUGCAUUCGAUACUGGUUAGCUAGAGUGUGGGAGAGGAUGGUAGAAUUCCAGGUGUAGCGGUGAAAUGCGUAGAGAUCUGGAGGAAUACCGAUGGCGAAGGCAGCCAUCUGGCCUAACACUGACGCUGAGGUACGAAAGCAUGGGGAGCAAACAGGAUUAGAUACCCGGGUAGUCCCUGUCUCUUAUAC